rnacentral:rRNA from 1 species
UACGAGGGGUCCAAGCGUUGUUCGGAAUCACUGGGCGUAAAGCGGGUGUAGGUGGCUUUGUAAGUCACAUGUGAAAGCCCCGGGCUCAACCCGGGAAGUGCAUGUGAUACUGCAAAGCUUGAGUACGGGAGAGGAUGGCAGAAUUCCUGGUGUAGUGGUGAAAUACGUAGAUAUCAGGAGGAACUCCGGUGGCGAAGGCGGCCAUCUGGCCCAGUACUGACACUCAGACCCGAAAGCGUGGGUAGCAAAC